ensembl:lncRNA
GUUAUGCUGAGACCAAGAGCUUUUAUGAGAUAUCACUUGGCUCAGGCUUUAGAGCACAUACACUCUCGGGAAGGGAGGGUGUUUAUGUCUGCGCAUGCAUGACUGUGUAUAUGUGUUUUGUGAGUGUGUACUGGAGAAGCCCAGUGGCUAAUACACAGAACAAGAGGACUGGAGGGGACCCCAGAAGAGAGAGCGUGCCAUUCUUUUCCCUUGGGGACAGGGGACACCCCGACCCCCAUCACGAGCUCUCCCUCCUCCAGGCCAGGAGUUAGUUGGGAUGACUCCCACCCCUGACGGCAGAAUUUUAAACCUAAGGGUGCCACUAAGGAUCUCCUAUAAGAUACAUCUAAAGUGAAACGAGGUACCGGGGUUCCUCUCAACAGGAUCAGCCUGAUGUGAACCAAAGGUUCACAGAUGCACACACUGCCUGACUUUGAAACAGUAGUGCCUAGUUCUGUGUUGAACAGCAGCUGCCGAUGAAUAUGGAAACUCUGGACCUGACCCACACCUUCAAGAGAAUACACCAAAUUUGGUAAACUAAACUUUACCAUGUUAGUAAACUUUUCUUCUAUUCCUGGUUUACUUAAAGUUAGCUUUCUUUCCUCUUCCACCUCCUCCUUUUUUGGACAGGAUCUCACGUAGCACCAUUUGACCCCGAACUCCUUGUCAAUUCUCUCCCCAUCUUCAGAGUGCUGGGAUCACAGUCUGUCGUGAUGCCUGGUGUAUGUGGUGCUGGGGAUAAAACCCAGGGCUUCAUGUGUACUAGCUAGCACUCUACCUAUGGAUUCACACCCCAAUCUGGUUCAGAAGUUAUUCGAACCCUUUUUGGAAGUUUUUCUUUAUUUUCAAUUGUGUCUCUGUGUUGGUAUGUGCAUGUGAGUGCUGGGACUGUCAGAGGACAGAGGAAUUGGAUGCCCCAGGGGCUGAAGUUACAGGCAGUGUGAGCUGCUUAGUGUAGGUGCUGGGAAUCAAAGUUUGGUCCUCUACAAAAAUACAGUGCAUAUGUUUAACCACUGAGCCAUUUCUCUAGUCCCCAUUUAAAAGCUUUUUCUGCAUCGGUUGAGGUAAUCAUUUUCUCCACUAAGUCACUGAGACAUUCUUUUAUUCCUAGGACACAAUGCACCUGCUCAUAGUAUUUUACACAUUAAUGAGCUGAACUCUUUUUUUUUUUUUUUUUUUUUUUUUUUUGGUUCUUUUUUUCGGAGCUGGGGACCGAACCCAGGGCCUUGCGCUUCCUAGGUAAGCGCUCUACCACUGAGCUAAAUCCCCAGCCCAAUGAGCUGAACUCUUGAGCAACUUCCUUGCAGUCCAGAGGGCCAGGUGGCUUGGUCCUUCUUGAUAUCAAUUAUCACGAAGCACUAGGACUAAAGAGGCUACUGAAGUAUAGACUACAUGGUGACCAUGGGAGUUACCAUUUGUGAGAUGAGAGUUGUAUUGGGUCUUUAAAAUGGGCUCAGCCUAUAAAGGUACCUGCAGCCCAAGCUUGAGAACCUGAAUUCAAUUCCCAGGGCCCUUAUGAUAGGAGAUAACUAACUUCUGCAUGUUGUCCUUUGACAUUCACAUGAGUGUGCUGCGGUGUACACACACACACACACACACACACACGAUGUGGGGUAGUGGUGGCCUUUAAUCCCAGCACUCAGGAGGCAAAGGUGUGUGGAUCUCAGAGUUUGAGUCCAGCCUGGUCUACAGAGUGAGUUCCAGGACAGUCAGAACUACAUAGUGAAUUCCUGUCUCAAUUAGACAGAGAAACAAACAAAAAACCGCUUAUAUCGAUCUCAGGAAUGAGGAUUUGGCUUACACGAAGAAAGGUAUAGUAUUUCAGAAAAAAAAAAAAAAAACCAAAAAACAAAAAACUAUUACACAGGGAAAGGGGACAUUGCUCCAGCAGGAGAUAUGGUGAAAACUCUGUUUAUGUGACCCAAAAAUAUCUAAAGAAGUUAAGUAUUUUAGGACCCAGAGGCUCACCAGUAUUUACUGCCUGGUAAGUCCCUCUGGGGAGCUGGACUCUGAGACAUUAGCACCAAUAGUUAGAAGAACUAGUAUGAAGCUGCUGCAUGGUCAAUUUAUGGGAAAAAUUUUACAUCCUGGAGUCCAUGGGCUACCAUGGCAGACAGGUAAAAGUAAGAACCAAACGGAAUAUAUUGUAUGCUAUCACCCAAUUCGCAAACCCUUUGUCCCUUUCCGAUGAGUGCUGCUGGUACAACUGAGCUCUGGAGAAGGGAAGGAUGGGGCUGUCCCUAGCCUAAGUAUUAGAUAGUGAUUGCUAAUGCCAGAAACAGGUUGCUAUAAGGCACAUGGCUGUUACAACAAAGGACAAAUGCCAGUGUGAGGAGAUGGGACCUGUGAGGUACAUAAACCUUGUAUAAGAGCUAGGAUAAGAGAUGGGAGGAUGAACUGCUCAUUUCUGGAAGGAACAAGGAGUAGGGGCAGCAAACAGGGUUCUGGAGAAGAUAGGCUUUCUGAGGGGAAUGUCUAAGAAUAGAGUAGCCAGCAGGAUUAGGUCAACGAAGUCCAGAGAGACCAUGUUUCUAAUGAGGAUUGCCCUACCACUUGGUUAUUAAAAUGUCAGCUGUGCUCUGGACAGACCAUGUCUUGUCCUGAGCCAAAGAACAGGAGGUGGAUUGGGCACUAAUGACACAUAGGCAUUAGUCUUUGUCUUGUGUAACUGGACAUUCCCCCUGUUUAUAAUGACUUCAGAUGUCCAAACAAUCAAAAGAGGUGACAUCACCUGGAACCUUUUUGGCUCUAGAGGACACUGAGGUUAGUCUUCCCAGAUCCACUAAAGGAUGUGGCAACAAGAAGCCAGGAAAGAAGCUGGGGAGGGUACUACGGGUGUAAAUGCACUAGCUGUGUGUACACAUGUAUGCCUGUGUGUAUGUGUGUGCUUGUAUGUCUGUAAAUGUGUGUGCUAUGUAUACAUGUGUGUGUUUGUUUAUGAACACAUGUUUUCCUCUAUAUACUGUGCAUGUGUGCAUGCACACACACACAUACUUGCGUGCUGUGUACAUGCAUGCAGUCAUACCUCUCUGAUGCACUCCACCAGCUUCCUAUAGAAGAGACCUCCAGAGCUGGGCAUGGUGAUACAUGCCUUUAAUCCUAGCACUCAGGAAGCAGAGUCAGCCAGAUCUCUGUGAGUUCAAGGCCAGCCUGAUCUACAUAGCAAGUUCCAGACCAGCCAAGGUUAAAUAGAGAGAACCUGUCUUUAAAAAAAAACAAAACAGUAGCAACAAGAAAGGAGACCACCAGAGCCAGGUGCCUUAUGGUCAACUCUAGUUCUAGUCCUUUGGAUGUAGUCUGGCCUCGGAAUCAGGUUAUAUGGUGUGCUGGGAACCUAGGGUCAGCCAGAGAUCAGAACCAGCUGAAUCCAAAGGCCCAAAAGCCAGCCAUACCAGGUAUCUCUCUCCACAAGGCCAUAGCCCACUUACAAGUAUAUCAGCUAGCCAUGAAAGUAUGAGGCUCAGUCACUGUGAUGGUUUGCACAUGCUUGGCCUAGGGUGUGGCACUAUUAGGAGAUGUGGCCUUGUUGGAAUAGGUAUGGCCUUAUUGGAAUAAGUGUGUCACUAUGGGUAUGGGCUUUGAGACCCUCAUCCUAGCUGCCUGGAAGUCAAUAUUCUGCUAGCAUCCUUCAGAUGAAGAUGUAGAACUCUCAGCUCUUCCUGCACCAUGACUCCCUGGAUGCUGCCAUACUCCUACCUUGAUGAUGAUGGAAUGAAUCUCUGAACCUGUAAGCCAGCCCCAAUGAAAUGUUGUCCUUAUAAGAGUUGCUUUAGGGAGAUGGCUCAGUGGUUAAGAGCACUGACUGCUCUUCCAGAGGUCCUGAGUUCAAAUCCCAGCAACCACUGGGUGGCUUACAACCACCUGUAAUGGAAUCUGAUGCCCUCCUCUGUGUGUCUGAGGACAGCGACCGUGUACUCAUAUACCUAAAACAAAUAAAUAUAUCUUUAAGAAAAAA